rnacentral:rRNA from 1 species
AAGCGUUACUCGGAAUUACUGGGCGUAAAGCGCGCGCAGGCGGUCUGUAAAGUCGGAUGUGAAAUCCCCGGGCUCAACCUGGGAACUGCAUUCGAAUACUGACAGGCUAGAGUCUUGUAGAGGGGGGUAGAAUUCCAUGUGUAGCGGUGAAAUGCGUAGAGAUCUGGAGGAAUACCGGUGGCGAAGGCGGCCCCUGCACAAGUACUGACGCUCGAGUGCGAAAGCGUGGAGAGCAACAGGAUUAGAUACCCUGGUAGUCAACGCGUAAACGAUGCGACUGAGUUGGGGCCCAUGAGGCUAGCAUCAGAAUUAACGCGUUAAGUCUACCGCCUGGGAUACGGCGAAGUAUAGACUCAAUGAUAUGACGGAGCCCCGCACAAGGGGAUGAAAUGUGGAUUCAUC